rnacentral:rRNA from 1 species
GAUGAACGCUAGCGGCAGGCCUAAUACAUGCAAGUCGAGGGGCAGCACAGGUAGCAAUACUGGGUGGCGACCGGCAAACGGGUGCGGAACACGUACGCAACCUUCCUUUAAGUGGGGAAUAGCCCAGAGAAAUUUGGAUUAAUACCCCGUAACAUCGUGGAAAGGCAUCUUUCUACGAUUAAAGCUCCGGCGCUUAAAGAUGGGCGUGCGUC